rnacentral:rRNA from 1 species
UACGUAGGGUGCGAGCGUUGUCCGGAUUUAUUGGGCGUAAAGGGCUCGUAGGCGGCGUGUCGCGUCGGGAGUGAAAGCCCGUUGCUUAACGGCGGGUUGGCUUUCGGUACGGGCAUGCUGGAGUGCGGCAGGGGAGACUGGAAUUCCUGGUGUAGCGGUGAAAUGCGCAGAUAUCAGGAGGAACACCGGUGGCGAAGGCGGGUCUCUGGGCCGUAACUGACGCUGAGGAGCGAAAGCAUGGGGGAGCGAACAGG